UACGUAGGGGGCUAGCGUUGUCCGGAAUCAUUGGGCGUAAAGCGCGCGCAGGUGGUUCCUUAAGUCUGAUGUGAAAGCCCACGGCUCAACCGUGGAGGGUCAUUGGAAACUGGGGAACUUGAGUGCAGAAGAGGAAAGUGGAAUUCCAAGUGUAGCGGUGAAAUGCGUAGAGAUUUGGAGGAACACCAGUGGCGAAGGCGACUUUCUGGUCUGUAACUGACACUGAGGCGCGAAAGCGUGGGGAGCAAACAGG
rnacentral:rRNA from 1 species